UCCAUAAUGCUCAGUUUUCCA
rnacentral:miRNA from 1 species